GAAUGUUUGCGUUGGGGGACUUCGGUCGUAAUUUUGGCUAGUCAGGGGAUUUGGAGGCGAUUAUUAUGUUUUAUAUAUAUAUAUAUCUAUAUAUGUAGAGCUACUAUGCUAUCAGAAGCAUAAGGGAGUUGGUGCUUUCGAUUUUUUAGCCCUUGGAUCAAAGAUUGUACGGUUAGGAUGAUAAUGGUCCCUCUAGGGUUGAAUGGUCCCCAUAGGGUUGAAUGGUCCCCAUUGGGUAAUAAUAUUAAUCCAAUGGUUAAAAAUGAUCAUGGGGGUUGAUCCAAGGGCUAAAAAAUCGAAAGCACCAACUACCUUAUGCUUCCGAUAGCAUAAUAGCUCUCUCUCUCUCUCUCUUUCUCUCUCUCUCUCUCUCUCUCUCUCUAUAUAUAUAUAUAUAUAUCUAUUAAUCUAUUAAACUAUAUGAAUCCUCAAUAAUUUUGCCACGCGGCAGUCUAUCCUUCACCCUCACUUGCCUCUCUUUUGAACCAAACGACUUAUCCGACCCGAAAUGUUUUUUUUUUCUGAACCGGACCACUCCUCUCCUCUCCCUCACCUGUCCCUUUUUUGAACCGCCCCCGAACCGAACCGCCGCUCUCUCCUCUAUGUAUUGUUAAUACAAUUCUCUGAAUCGAACAUGCCUAUGAACCGGACCGUUAUUUUUUCUGUGAACCGAACUGCCACUAUCUUCUCUCCGCGUUUUUGUACGAAUCGUUUCCUCUCCUCUCUCGGCAGCGUGUUCUUUUUCUCUCCUCUCCCCCGCGCGUUCCCUCUUCCCUCACCAUUUCGAUACGACAUUCCCUCUUCUCUCUCCGUCGCAUCAUCCCUCUCCUCUUUCCGUUUCAUAGGAGGGAUCCGAAUCUCAUCAAGAAUCUCAUCAAAUUUGUCGUUUGAUUUGUUGUUG
rnacentral:lncRNA from 1 species